rnacentral:rRNA from 1 species
ACCUGGUUGAUCCUGCCAGUAGUCAUAUGCUUGUCUCAAAGAUUAAGCCAUGCAAGUGUAAGUUCACGUCACGAUUAAGAAUGGUCAAAACCGCGAAUGGCUCAGGAACCGGAUCUAAUCCUCGGGAUCGUAUAUAUCCUCUACGGAGGUAGAUUGGAUAACUGUGGUAAUUCUAGAGCUAAUACAUGCAACUAAAGCCAUGAUCGUCGAAUGGAAGGUAAUGUUGUCGGUUAAUAUAUCGUCUCGUCGUCGUCGUCGUCACGUUCGUUUCUGUCUGUCUAGUCGGCGUCAGUUCCUCGUUCGUCGUCCUCGUCGUCGUCGUCGUUUAGAGACUUGCAAUUUAUUACUCCGUUCGUAGUUUGUGAUCGCGGCGCAACAUAUUAGACUGAGACCGAUGCGUUUUGCAGUUCGUUCGUCGUCGUCGUCGUCGUCGCAUGUACUUACGUUGGUGCUUGUAGAAAGGACAGUGUAARCGCGACCUCUGGGUCCUAUUACUCUAUUCCCCUGCAUUCGCUUCGUUGUCGUCGUCGUUGUCUUCGUCGUCGUCGUCGUUUCUGUGCGCGCUCGCUAUUUGGUGACUCUGGAUAACGCAAUUGUCGAUCGCUAUGGAUGAUAUUUGUUUUUCGUAAAAAAAAAUUACCCGGCGACGGAUCCUCCGUGGGUCCGCCCUAUCAACUGUCGACGGUCGGAUAAUUGCCUACCGUGGUUGCCACGGGUAACGGGGAAUCAGGGUUCGAUUCCGGAGAGGGAGCAUGCGAAACGGCUACCACAUCCAAGGAAGGCAGCAGGCGCGCAAAUUACCCACUCCCGGCACGGGGAGGUAGUGACGAAAAAUAACGACGCGGGACUCUGUCGAGGCCCCGCGAUCGGAAUGAAUACACCUCAAAUCCGUUAAUGAGGAUCAACCGGAGGGCAAGUCUGGUGCCAGCAGCCGCGGUAAUUCCAGCUCCGGUAGCGUAUAUUAAAUUUGUUGCGGUUAAAAAGCUCGUAGUCGGAAUUCGGGUCUAAAAAAAAAACGUUUGCAAAAACGUUCGGGGCGUCGGCGCCAUCGUUCGUCAUUCGGACUUUGGUUGAUUUUUUUCCGUUCGCACACCCGGCCCUAUCCGCCGGUACGGAUGAGGGAAGGUAAAUCUGUUUUGUGAGGAGAUAAUUUAUUUUGUAUUAGUUUGAAGAAGUUUUGUCGGAUGGUUGGUUGGGGUUUGUUCGUUCGGUUUGCAUCACUGCAUUUUCGGUCGUCGUCGUCUUCUUCCUACUUACUUGCUUUCUUCUUCUGCUUCUCUUACAAUCUAAGAGAAAAAACUCUAAGAAACUUUUUGCUAAAUGAGUUCGCGUCGUGUCCCUCGUUCGAUUCCUCCGAGGGUGCUCUUUACCGAGUGUCCGAGGCGGCCGGUAUGUUCACUUUGAAAAAAUUAGAGUGCUCAGAGCGAGCUCCGUUAAGCUUGCAUACGAUAAGCAUGGAAUGAUAGAAAAGGGCCUCGUCCACGUGUCUGUCGGUCUCCGUUUACGACGAGGCAAUGAUCGAAGGGAGCGGUUCGGGGCCACUCGUAUUGCGACGUUAGAGGUGAAAUUCUUGGAUCGUCGCAAGACGUACUGCAGCGAUGGCGUGUGGCAAGGACGUUUUCCUCGAUCAAGAGCGAAAGUCGGAGGUUCGAAGACGAUCAGAUACCGUCGUAGUUCCGACUGUAAACGAUGCCGACUGGCGAUACGCCGGCGUUCGCUUCGAUGACCCGGCGGGUAGCCUGUGGGAAACCAGAGUUGGUUCCGGGGGGAGUAUGGUUGCAAAAUCGAAACUUAAAGGAAUUGACGGAAGGGCACCACCAGGAGUGGAGCCUGCGGCUUAAUUUGACUCAACACGGGAAAACUCACCCGGUCCGGACACCGGUAGGAUUGACAGAUCGAUAGCUCUUUCUCGAUUCGAUGGAUGGUGGUGCAUGGCCGUUCUUAGUUGGUGGAGCGAUCCGUCUGGUUGAUUCCGAUAACGAACGAGACUCCAGCCUGCUAACUAGCGCGUCGAUUAGUGCUAGUUAUGUAUAUCAUGUAUGUAUUCAAUGCCAGUCGGUUAGCCGGCGCUUCUUAGAGGGACGGGUGGCGGAAAGCCACACGAGGCGGAGCGAUAACAGGUCUGUGAUGCCCUUAGAUGUCCGGGGCUGCACGCGCGCUACACUGGAGGUAUCAGCGGGGACUCAUCCCCUGGCCCGAGAGGGUUGGGAAACCUCUGAACCACCUGCCGUGAUAGGGAUCGGGGCUUGUAAGCAACCCCGUGAACGAGGAAUUCCCGGUAGGCGCGGGUCAUCAGCCCGCGUCGAUCACGUCCCUGCCCUUUGUACACACCGCCCGUCGCUACUACCGAUCGAACGGUCCGGUGAGGUCCUCGGAUCUGGCCGACGACGGUAACAUUGUUGAUGUCUUUGAUAACGAUCAGGAAAGACUAGAGAUUAUGAUGGAAUGAGAAACAGAGGGAUUGUUUGCGCCUUGGAUUUUUUGGUUGGCGUUGGUUUCGUUUCUGGGGUCGUCAAAGAGAUAUGGUACUACUUCUCUUUUUUUGUUUGUUCCAAUUUUUUUUUGGUUCGUCCGUUUUUUGCUUUAUCGAGUCGUUGACGUUGUCGUUUGAUGGUCCGGAGAAGACGACCGAACCCGAUCGUUUAGAGGAAGUAAAAGUCGUAACAAGGUUUCCGUAGGUGAACCUGCGGAAGGAUCAUUA